UGUUUUAAGAAGGAAAACGGUGCUUUGGUGACAUUUAGUUUAGUAAAUACACAUGGCUGUUGAUUGUGUCUUUAGUGAACUAACUGUUGAGUCAGUCCUGGACAGUGAGCAUAAAGUCCUGUGGCUGUGAAAGGAUUAGUCUGAACCGUUUUCUGUGGUUGUUUCAGGAGCUUUCUGCUGAGCUGACGGUCAUGCUGCAGACUGACUGAAGCUGCAUGUGGAGCCUCUGGCCUGCAGGGGGCAGUCCUCACCUUCAGGAAGCUCCGGCUGAGUGCAGUGUAAUCCUGCUGCUGUGGAUGAGUGGAUAUGCUGCCGACUGUCCACCUGCUGGGAGCUGAUCAAUCAUCAAUACGUCCGUCUGUUUAACUUCUCAAAGCUCAGGCUGCGUCUACACAUCUCCAGUACCUUUAAUCUACUUUAUUUCUUUAGGUACUUGUUAGGCCUGUACAACUUCAAGAACCUCAAACACGUUCAGACAUUCAGUUUACAGUAAUGGACCAAUUUAUUUUGAAGUUGAUCAGAUGUGAGAAUGUUUGGAAUUUGUUGAGAAAAUGAAUCCAAAAUGUAACAUUCAACAGGACAUGAACAGAAGUUUAACUGGGAUGUAAACACUGACCCUGAGUUGUCUAAACGUCUGAAUAAAAUGUUUUCUUCCUACACCUUAA